AACAAAAACAUGUCCUUUUGGUAUUUAUAUAAGGUUUGACCUGCCCACUGAUUAAUUGAAUGGCCGCAGUAUUUUGACUGUGCAAAGGUAGCAUAAUCAUUAGUUUUUUAAUUAAAAGCUUGUAUGAAGGGUUGGACGAGGUAAAAUCUGUCUCUAUUUAAUUUAUUUUAGAAUUUAAUUUUUAAGUUAAAAAGCUUAAAUUAUUAUAAAAGACGAGAAGACCCUAUAGAUCUUUAUAUUAUUAUAAAUAAUUUUAAUUAAGAAUAUUUUAUUUUUUAUUUAUAUUAAUAUUUUAUUGGGGUAAUAAAUAGAUUAAAUAAAUUCUUUUUAAAAUUAAAUACUAAUUUGUAAUUAUAUGAUCCAAUAUUUUUGAUUAAAAGAUUAAGUUACCUUAGGGAUAACAGCGUAAUUUUUUUUGAGAGUUCAUAUCGAUAAAAAAGUUUGCGACCUCG
rnacentral:rRNA from 1 species